UGCAUUCACUACUGUAAGUCGCUCUUGAUAAGAGCGUCUGCUAAAUGACAAACG
rfam:Salmo salar isolate Sally breed double haploid chromosome ssa07, whole genome shotgun sequence.